CAAGAAUGCGCAGUGAGUGGAUAUAGAGAGCAGCUGUUGCUUCGUGAUUAAUCUCUACCUGGAAAAUACGUGAUCAAAGUGAUUGAUAGUUGGCAUUCAGCAGUCAUUAAAAGUAUGCCUUAUGGACUUUGAAGAACUACAAAAUAGAGUUUUUGUCAGACAGAAUAACCAGCAGCUCUAUAGAGAUGAGAUGAUGACUUGGAAUGAAAAUAAUAAAGUCAUCAAAUAAAACAAAUUAAAUACGCAACUGAAAUAUGAAGUAAAAUCAUGUAAAUAAUUGUUGGUUAAUCAGCAGUCAUCGGCAGUCACUACCAUCAUGGGACUUUUACAGAUUUGUUUUAUUCUGUGUUGUUACAAUAUUCAACUCAAAUAAUCAAAACCGAAAGCCGAGAUAAACAAAUAAUUAACCCCAAACCCGACUCAAAGCACUAAUUGCUCAGCACUACCUAUAGCAGAGCGCUUUCCCACACCCAGUUCAUUACCACAUGGGCCAUUCUAUCCAAAAUGAUUGGGAUGGUCCUACCCCAUUGAAUUUUACAUUUAAAAUGGUUAGGGUUAGGUCAGGGUUAAGGUUAGGGUAGGGAGGUGCAAAGGAUCCCGGACAGCACUGACUCUAUCCACACGCUCAUUGUUGUUACAGAAUUCAACCCAAAUAAUCAAAGCCUGAAUCGAAAACAAUGGUUUUUGUAUUUAUUAUAAUGAACCGAAACCCAACCCUGUCCACACGCCCAGUACUUAACUUUUCAACACACCCUCUUGACCAUAGUCCGGUCUCGGUAUCGAGCUGCAGCUCCCUACUUCUCAAUGCGAACGUGAGUAGAUUACCUUGAAAACAACGGUCGGACAUCUAGGAAGCAGUCUCCAGUUUGUAUUAUACCUCGGUGGUGUAGACGGAACAAAUAUCGACCGGAUCUUGAUCGGACGACGAGGACAACAACGUGUUAAAGGUGUAACCAAGGCUUCUGAGAACACAGAGAAACAUGGCUACAGUCUUCAUCUGUUCCGUCUGUACCGAAGUCUUCGUUGGACAUAUAUCGCUGAGCUGCCAGCACACCUUCUGUGAACGUUGCCUCCAGAAGUGUAUGGACGCCGGUUGCGUUAUCUGUCCGGUGUGCGGGGAUCCAAUCACGUCGGAGAACAUCAGAGUCAACAGAAUACUAAGGAACAUGGCAGACGAAGUGAGACAGAGAAGAGUUGAUCUCAGAGUGUUGAAGAGAAAUGAGGACGUUGAUGUGAAUAACUGGGAAACCGACAAGAAGAAGAAUGUCAAAACAUCAAAGUCCUUGGUGAAGGAAGGCCUGGCUGCCAGAAAGACAGAGCGGAAGUUAAAGUCGUCUCUGACCACUGGUCCCUGGGAGGGUAUACUUUUUGGCAAUAUGGCCUUUUAUUGCUAUAUUUCUGUUCUUACUUAUGUUGUCCUUCCUGGUGUGGAAUAUGUGUCUGUAACAAUGUCAGGAAAUGCAGCCAAGGUGUUCGGAUCCCCUUUGGUGUUCAUGUCUAUGUUUGUUGUCUUCGGUGUUGUUGCUCAUUUGGUGGAUUUUGUGUUGAAAAAGAUUGACUUAAAAUCUGUUUUAUAAUAGUAAUAACUGAUUGAUUUCAUCCAGUGUUGGAGAGUCACUGGAUGUAGCGAACUUCCUUUCCCAGCAGUGGUAGUUGAACAACUUUUUUGAAAUGAAUUAUAUUAUUGAGUUGACUUACAUCUGCAGGUUUAUGCCCAGUUUAUUGAUGCUAUGGAAGAAAAAGGGCAAUGAGUGUAUUUUGAUGUAAAACUUUCUCCUGUAAAUUUACCAGCAUUAUAAUGGCUCCAGAGUUGCCAGCUUAAUACUGUCAUAUUUUUUUACAGUAACCUCUUUUCCAUACUAUAACAUACAUUACAGAAUACAGCAUCCCUGCUUUUAAAUUUACAGCUGUAAGGUUUUUACAGUAGUAGUAUUCAAUGUCGGGAUUCGUGUCCCCACAACUGCAGCUUAAAUACUGUAAUUUUGCUUUACAGCAGGUAUACUGUAAUAUUUUACAGUAGUAUUUUCCUUACUGUAAAACAGUGGUAUUUAAACCUUUUCAGUGGGGUUGCCAACAAUAUUAUUUGAAAUGCUUUAUAUUAUUACUUAGUGUUAUUAUUUUAUUUAUUUAAACAAUAUAGAAACAUUUUUGAGAAAAAUGGGUUCCCUGCUGAAAAGGUUUAAAUACCACUGUUUUACAGUAAGGAAAAUACUACUGUAAAAUAUUACAGUAUACCUGCUGUAAAGCAAAAUUACAGUAUUUAAGCUGGCAACUCUGGUGCCAUUACAAUGCUGAAUAUUUACAGUAUUUAAGCUGGCAACUCUGGUGCCAUUACAAUGCUGAAUAUUUACAGUAUUUAAGCUGGCAACUCUGGUGCCAUUACAAUGCUGAAUAUUUACAGUGAAAUUCUACCUGAACUCUAAAUACAAAGAAAUAUAUACAAAUGUACAUAAAAUACAUACACGUAUUCAAAUAGCUGACAACAUUAACUACAAAUGAACAAUAUAAUUGACAAUGGAAGUAACAACAGUUAUCACGUAUGUAACCAAAUAAGAGCAUCAUUACAACACUAAUGACUAAUUAUAUUGUGUGGGGGGGGGGGGGGGGGGUUGUUGAGAUCGAAUUGGGAUUGGGUACAAUCCUAGAUCUAUGAUCAGGGGCAACUCUAUUUAGGGUAAGGGGGUUCAGAGGCGGUGAAACGGGACAGUUUGGUCAGGAGAGCAUCCAGGACAGAGAGAAGUUAGCAUCAUGUGUUCCUCAUGGGGCUCCGUAAACAAGCCUCCUCGGGUUCUGAUUGGUCAGCUCUUCUCAACCCUAGGACAAGCAUAGAAAGAGACACUAGAAUGAGCACCAGGGCUGUUACUCUGUGGUGAAAUAGACAGACAGACAGCACCAGGGGCUGUUACUCUGUGGGUAAAUAGACAGACAGACAUCACCAGGGCUGUUACUCUGGGAGUAAAUAGAGAGACAGACAUCACCAGGGCUGUUACUCUGGGGGUAAAUAGAGAGACAGACAUCACCAGGGCUGUUACUCUGUGGGUAAAUAGAGAGACAGACAGCACCAGGGGCUGUUACUCUGGGGGUAAAUAGACAGACAGACAGCACCAGGGGCUGUUACUCUGGGGGUAAAUAGACAGACAGACAGCACCAGGGGCUGUUACUCUGGGGGUAAAUAGAGAGACAGACAGCACCAGGGGCUGUUACUCUGGGGGUAAAUAGAGAGACAGACAGCACCAGGGGCUGUUACUCUGUGGGUAAAUAGACAGACAGACAGACAGCACCAGGGGCUGUUAGUCUGUGGGUAAAUAGACAGACAGACAGCACCAGUGGCUGUUACUCUACGGGUAAAUAGAGAGACAGACAGCACCAGGGGCUGUUACUCUGGGGGUAAAUAGACAGACAGACAGACAGCAACAGGGGCUGUUACUCUGUGGGUAAAUAGAGAGACAGACAGCACCAGGGGCUGUUACUCUGUGGGUAAAUAGACAGACAGACAGCACCGGGGGUUGUUACUCUGGGGGUAAAUAGACAGACAGACAGCACCAGGGGCUGUUACUCUGGGGGUAAAUAGACAGACAGACAGCACCAGGGGCUGUUACUCUGGGGGUAAAUAGACAGACAGACAGCACCAGGGGCUGUUACUCUGGGGGUAAAUAGAGAGACAGACAGCACCAGGGGCUGUUACUCUGUGGGUAAAUAGACAGACAGACAGACAGCACCAGGGGCUGUUAGUCUGUGGGUAAAUAGACAGACAGACAGCACCAGUGGCUGUUACUCUACGGGUAAAUAGAGAGACAGACAGCACCAGGGGCUGUUACUCUGGGGGUAAAUAGACAGACAGACAGCAACAGGGGCUGUUACUCUGUGGGUAAAUAGACAGAGGACAAGGGACAUAUCAAGCUGGUGGUGUGUGUACGUACUUAACUACAAAUCUACAGUAGGCAUAAGCUAUUACUGUAAAUAAAUGAUACAGAAUGUUGGGAGGAUUUCCUCCAGGAGGCUUCCAAUUACAGGAAUGUUGGGAGGAUUUCCUCCAGGAGGCUUCCAAUUACAGGAAUGUUGGGAGGAUUUCCUCCAGGAGGCUUCCAAUGACAGUAAUGUUGGGAGGAUUUCCUCCAGGAGGCUUCCAAUUACAGGAAUGUUGGGAGGAUUUCCUCCAGGAGGCUUCCAAUGACAGGAAUGUUGGGAGGAUUUCCUCCAGGAGGCUUCCAAUUACAGGAAUGUUGGGAGGAUUUCCUCCAGGAGGCUUCCAAUGACAGUAAUGUUGGGAGGAUUUCCUCCAGGAGGCUUCCAAUGACAGUAAAUAACAGUAUUUUUCAGCAUUUUACCCAUAAUGCAGUGCAAUCUAUAACAUUAUUGCUUUAAGACACAUAUAUGGUAUUUUACUGUGCCUUCUACCGUGUUUUAAUGUUGACAUGACCGUCUUACACUACAUAGCUUUUCUCCAUUUGAGAAGACACUAACCUAAUUUGUAUUGAAAUGUAAUAAAAAUAUAAUUCUGUUA